CCUACGGGGGGCAGCAGUCGAGAAUCAUUCACAAUGGGGGAAACCCUGAUGGUGCGACGCCGCGUGGGGGAAUGAAGGUCUUCGGAUUGUAAACCCCUGUCAUGUGGGAGCAAAUUAAAAAGAUAGUACCACAAUAGGAAGAGACGGCUAACUCUGUGCCAGCAGCCGCGGUAAUACAGAGGUCUCAAGCGUUGUUCGGAAUCACUGGGCGUAAGGCGUGCGUAGGCUGUUUCGUAAGUCGUGUGUGAAAGGCGCGGGCUCAACCCGCGGACGGCACAUGAUACUGCGAGACUAGAGUAAUGGAGGGGGAACCGGAAUUCUCGGUGUAGCAGUGAAAUGCGUAGAUAUCGAGAGGAACACUCGUGGCGAAGGCGGGUUCCUGGACAUUAACUGACGCUGAGGCACGAAGGCCAGGGGAGCGAAAGGGAUUAGAUACCCUAGUAGUC
rnacentral:rRNA from 1 species